GAUGAACGCUGGCGGCGUGCCUAAUACAUGCAAGUCGAGCGAACGGACGAGGAGCUUGCUUCUCUGACGUUAGCGGCGGACGGGUGAGUAACACGUGGAUAACCUACCUAUAAGACUGGGAUAACUUCGGGAAACCGUAGCUAAUACCGGAUAAUAUUUUGAACCGCAUGGUUCAAUAGUGAAAGACGGUUUUGCUGUCACUUAUAGAUGGAUCCGCGCUGCAUUAGCUAGUUGGUAAGGUAACGGCUUACCAAGGCAACGAUGCGUAGCCGACCUGAGAGGGUGAUCGGCCACACUGGAACUGAGACACGGUCCAGACUCCUACGGGAGGCAGCAGUAGGGAAUCUUCCGCAAUGGGCGAAAGCCUGACGGAGCAACGCCGCGUGAGUGAUGAAGGUCUUCGGAUCGUAAAACUCUGUUAUUAGGGAAGAACAUAUGUGUAAGUAACUGUGCACGUCUUGACGGUACCUAAUCAGAAAGCCACGGCUAACUACGUG
rnacentral:rRNA from 1 species